AGAGCGAACGCUGGCGGCAGGCCUAACACAUGCAAGUCGAGCGCCCGUAGCAAUACGGGAGCGGCAGACGGGAUAGUAACACGUGGGAACGCGCCCUUCGGUUCGGAAUAACUCAGGGAAACUUGAGCUAAUACCGAAUACGCCCUUACGGGGAAAGAUUAUUGCCGAAGGAACGGCCCGCGUCCGAUUAGCUAGUUGGUGAGGUAAUGGCUCACCAAGGCUACGAUCGGUAGCUGGUCUGAGAGGAUGACCAGCAUCACUGGGACUGAGACACGGCCCAGACUCCUACGGGAGGCAGCAGUGGGGAAUAUUGGACAAUGGGCGCAAGCCUGAUCCAGCCAUGCCGCGUGGAUGAUGAAGGCCUUAGGGUUGUAAAGUCCUUUUAACGGGGAAGAUAAUGACGGUACCCGUAGAAUAAGCCCCGGCUAACUUCGUGCCAGCAGCCGC
rnacentral:rRNA from 1 species